UCAUAAAGUUUUGUUCUUCCUCAGAAAGUUGGUAGCUCGCCUUCGCGCGGCGCUUUCAUCAACUUCUUGGGGAGGCACAAGUCAUUAUCCCUUUCUGUGUUCAGCUUCUGCUUAUUAUCCUGCGUCAACGACAGCUCAUCAUCAUGCGCUCGAUUAUGCCAGAACCCUGAUCCCAGCACGGACAGCUUCAGGCUCCCUCUACUCUGAACCAAACACAGUCCCGGGACUACUCGGGUCACGAGCGAUAGAAGAAACCAACCCAAGCCACAUAACUUUUAGAUAUUCGCCGUUUGCGUAAAAUAUUCAUGUGCAUUGCUAAGUGGCCCGCGAAAGGUAACUCCACGUGGACCUGGAACGGAAUUUGGCUGGCUCCCCGGCGAUUAUAUUGCCGCUUUGUGGCUGAAAUAUUCAUAAAAUGCUUAAUUAAUUGAUUAAUGGCCUCAAAGUCAAAAGUUUUGCCAAAAAGCUAUCGCAAGCCAAUGGACUUCAAUUGGUAACCCGACACGAGCAGCGAGGCCUCGCCCGGUCCGCCCCUGUGGUCAUAUAACAAAGAUCGCUGCGUUGAUAAACUUGAACGCCCCGGGGGCACGGCCACAUGGACGCACUGCAGCACACAACGGCAAGAAUAAUAAUAAUAAUAACAAUAAUAACAACAACAAUAGAGAAACGCACGUGUUAACAAGGAUGCGAUAAAAAAAAUAAAGCGUUGUGAGGAAAUAAACGCUAGAAUGACAGGAAA